AUGCUUCCUGACACCUGCUCUGUCCUGGUGCUCCUGUUAAUGCUCAGGAGGAGCAAUGGAGACUCAGUGUCCCAGACAGAAGGCCUGGUUACUGUCACAGAGGGGUCACCUGUGAUGCUGAACUGCACCUAUCAGACUACUUACUCAAAUUCUUUCCCUCUAUGGUUCGUGCAAUAUCCCAACAAAGCCCCUCAGCGACUCCUGUGGAGCACCACAGACAACAAGAGGACAGAGCACCGAGGGUUCCACGCCACUCUCCAUAAGAGCAACAGCUCCUUCCACCUGCAGAAGCCCUCAGUGCAGCUGUGGGACUCUGCCCUGUACUACUGUGCUGUGAGUGACACAGUGAAGGAGACUGCAGGGGAAGCUGCACACAAACCAAGGGGCCAGGAGGGCUUAGGGGAGUGGCCCUGUGAGGGAGGGCUGGGUAUGUCUCUAAAUGGGGUUUGCUCAGCCUCCUGA